GAUGAACGCUGGCGGCGUGCUUAACACAUGCAAGUCGAACGGAAAGGCCCAAGCUUGCUUGGGUACUCGAGUGGCGAACGGGUGAGUAACACGUGGGUGAUCUGCCCUGCACUUCGGGAUAAGCCUGGGAAACUGGGUCUAAUACCGGAUAGGACCACUUCUUGGAGGUUGUGGUGGAAAGUUUUUUCGGUGUGGGAGGAGCUAGCGGCCUAUCAGCUUGUUGGUGGGGUAAUGGCCUACCAAGGCGUCGACGGGUAGCCGGCCUGAGAGGGUGUACGGCCACAUUGGGACUGAGAUACGGCCCAGACUCCUACGGGAGGCAGCAGUGGGGAAUAUUGCACAAUGGGCGCAAGCCUGAUGCAGCGACGCCGCGUGGGGGAUGACGGCCUUCGGGUUGUAAACUCCUUUCGCUAGGGACGAAGCUUAUUUUGUGACGGUACCUGGAGAAGAAGCACCGGCUAACUACGUGCCAGCCGCCGCCGUAA
rnacentral:rRNA from 1 species